AGAGGUGGAAAAACAAAACAAAACAAAACAACAAAAAAAAAAGAUAAGUAGUUCUGGUGUAAUUCUGAAUUUACUCCAAUACACCUCAGGAAUUAUACAGAAUGAAGUAUACCAUGAAAUCGUAGCAAGAACAAACUUAUUCCCAGAAAUGACCAUAUAAAUAUAGGAAAACAGUGAGCUUUCAGCGCCAAGUGGAAAUUUUACCAUUGUGAUUGCCAUUUCUGAAAACUCUGGAGAGAGCCUGUGACAGUUGCUUCUUGCAGAUCCUUUCUGGGACAGCUGGAUGGCCCUGAGAUGUCACCCUUCUUAAGGUAACUCUGAUGUGUAACCUACAUUGCUCUUUGCACUUUGUAAGGUGUCUCAGGGUAGGAGACACAGGUUCUGGUUACAAAUUUGAUAGAAAAACUUCC